AACAAGCUGCGGAAUGGAUUGAAAAGCUGGGACAUCGCGGUCGGAGGGAAUGGCCACACGGAGCUGGAAGUAAGUGUGGCAAUAAGGGCGGAACUGGUGUACACCGGAAUGUAGAGUAGGUAAGUACAGGCCGAGGU
rnacentral:SRP_RNA from 13 species